UGACUUUUGCAGACUUUUAAACCACACGCAUAACUGAAUUUUUAUUUUGUGUGGUAUUUUCUAAUACAUUUGUAAGUAGUUCAGAAGCUCAUUUUGAAGUAUUAACUGUUUAAAUUACUUCAUCCAAGAGAUGGUACUGUGUUCUGUGAUUGUCACACUAUCGCUCCUGUGUGAAAGUGGUGAGGAAGUACAGCUACUAAUAUGAGGGUACAUAUCUUAAAGAUUUGUAGUGUGUGUUUGACUUUGGAUGAUAUGCAACAGCCAUUUGGGACUGUUUCUGAGAUUUUUUUAUCCUAGCAACUUGAGAAAAGCAAGCUACACAAGAUAGGCCUUACUUCCACGGUCAACCAACUAUUUUUGUGGGUAAAUAGGUGAAAAAAUCUCUGUAAUCUUCAUUCCUUUCCACUUGCAGUGUGCAAAAUAGUAAAAAACUGAAUAGAUGGCAGGAAAGACAAGCAGGAUGGAACUAUGCACAAAGGAACAUGUCAGUAGGGUUCAGCUGAGGGUUUAAAGGGUGCGAAUCUAUUAGUAUCAGAUUCCACUGAGACACUCAGUCUAAUUCAGGAAGAAAAAGAGAUUUUUAAAUUGUCUUACCUUAAAUACCCUGUGAUGAGAAAACACCAGAUGGCUUUUGACUGAAGAAUGAUGGACAGAAAUUGUUGCUUGGUGAGCUUCAAUCAAGUUUAUAGAGAGCCAUGAAUUCUUCAGCCCAGAGCCUGGAAUGAGGAGGGGUGUUAACAGUCCUCGCUGCACAUCCUAGCUAUUUCCUGAUGACUGACUAAUGCUGCUAGGAGAGAAUGUAGGAAAGAAGAGAGUUCUCCAAUUGACAGGAAGCAAAAAAGAAAUGAUUGUCAAGGGCUGGCAGUGCUUCUAGUUUAAAGACAGACACAAUUUAGAUACCAUUGAGAUCCCACUGCAGGAUGAAGCUUAAUGAGGUCUGUGUGGUCACAGAGGGAUAAAACACUGUGGGAUCAGAUGUGGCCCUGUGUUGUGCGUGAGAGCAAGACCUUUGAGCUAUACAAUUUAAAUGAAUUCUGCAGCAAGUUAAAGGUAUGA
rnacentral:lncRNA from 1 species